CCCUCUUCUCGUCUCGCCGUGUUCCCUGUCGGAUCAGCUCGCUACUGCUGCGCCCGACUGCACACAAGGCUUCAGUAUUAGCGUGAAAGAACCUAAACAAAGUUCUUGGUCUGUAACUCCCUCAUCUACAGAUGGUGAUCAAAAGUGAAGAUUCCAUAAUCUAAACAGUAUGAUAAUUAUUAAAUAUUCUGUUAGCAACAGAUUUACCAAGUGAAUAUGAAGUCUUAACAUUCAGAAUGCUGUAAUCCAAGUUACUUCUGAUGUUGCACAUAUCAUAGUACUUCUUAUUUCAUUACUUUAUUGUGUUUCAUGUUAGAGAUUGCUAUAUACCACCUUUACACAGAUACAAAUGUAUUAUAUAUUUUUAAGGUAGGCACUUCUCUAAAUUGAAAUAAUACUGCAUGGAUUUUCAGUCCAAUUGAAUUGUUUGGUUUGUUAUGAUGUAUAUGAGAACUUUCAAAAAGCUAGGUGAUUUUAGUUUAACUUGAUCAUACUGUGCAAUGUUUUGCUUUACUUGCAUGACAUGAUUACUACAUUACAACGACCUGCUUUGAAUUAAGAUAGUAGUUAGAAUUAAGAUGUAUCUGAGCCACUUCAACAAACAGCAGAAACAAACAACUCAGCCUCAUAUUCACUACAAAGAUUUGAGUCUAUUAUCUCUACCCUAAAUCAGUGUGUCAUAUACUGAUCACAGUGACUAUGACCAUAGUCUAAUACUGGUAGGUGCUUGCAAAAUUCCAUGGAACUUAAAUCUACCCUAGAACUCUUUAUCAAUUUAAAAAAGUCUUGUCUUGAAAUAACACUUGAUUAAGCUUCUAAUACUUAUUUACGUACAUAUGAGCAAAGAUUUGUUCUUUAUUUUGACUCACAGAAUGGUACUACCAAGGAUGAGGAAAAGGCUGAGGUACUUAUGUCUUCUUUGCUUCUAUCUUUAAUAGUUUGACAAGUUAUCCUCAGUACUCUGUCCCCUGAGCUGGAAGAGAGGAAUGGGAAGCAGGAUAAAUCCCCAAUAAUUUAGGAGGAACUAGUGACCUGCUACUCCACCUAUACUAUCAUAAGUCUAUGGAGCCUGAUGGGAUUCACUUCAGACUACUGAGGAAUCUGAUAGAAGUUAUUCCCAAACCACUUUCCAUCCUUUAUCAACAGCAACUGGGGAUGUCCCAGAUGAAAUGAAACUUGCUGAUCUGAUGUUUGUCCACAAGGAGGGACAGAAGGAUGAUCCACAGAACUACAGGCCUCUCAGUCUGAACUUGAUAUACCAGAAGGUGAUGGAGCAGAUUAUCCUGAGUGUGAUUACAUGGGAUAUGAGGGACACCUAGGGCAUCAAGGCUAGCCAGAAUGGGUUCUUGAAAAACAGGUCCUGCUUGAUCAAUCUGAUCUCCUUCUGUGACCAUGUGACACACCCAGUAGAUCAGGGAAAAGUUGUGAUUGUAAUCGACCUAGAUUUUAGUAAUGCCUUUUACACUGUCUCCCACAGAAUUCUCCUGAAGAAAUUGGUAGCCCAUGGACUGGACAGGUUUACCUUAGUCUGGGUAAAAAAAUGGCUGGAUGGCAGGGUCCAGAGAGUGGUGGUAAAUGGAUUUAAAACCACUUCUCAUCUGUCCAGUCACUAAUGGUGUUCUUCAGGGGUCAGUGUUAAGGCCAGUCCUGUUUAAUGUCUUAACUGAUAAUCUGGACAAGGUAUUGAGUGCACCCUCAAUAAGUUUGCCAACUGGGAGGAAGUGUUCAUGUGCCUGAAGAUAGGGAGGCCCUGUUGAGAAUUCUGGAUAGCGUAGAUCACUGGGCAGAGGCCAGUAGUAUGAGCAUCAGCAAGAUGAAGUGCAAGAUCACUUCAGUCACAACCAUACCCAAUGCUACAGGCUCAGAGACUGGCUGGAAAGCUGCACAGAGGAAAAGGAUCUGGGAUUGGUGCUCCACAGCCAGCUGAACACGAGCCAGUAGUGCACCCAGGUGGCCAAGAUGGCCAAUGGCAUCCUGGUUUGUAUAAGAAACAGCGUAGCCUGGAGGACUAAUGAGGUGAUUGCCCCUUUGUACUUGACACUGGUGAGGCUGGACUGCAAGUACUAUGCUUGGUUUUGGCCCCUCACUACAGCAGAGGCAUUGUGGUGCUGGAACAUAUCCAGUGAAGGGUAACACAGCUAGUGAAGGGUCUGGAACACAAAUUGUAUGAGAAGAGGCUGGAGUAACUGGGAUUGAUUAUUUUGGAGUAGAGGCUAAUGGGAAACGCUAUUGCUCUUUACAAUUGCUGGAAAGGAAGUGGGAUUCAGCCUCUUUUUCACAGAUAACUAGUGAUAAGACAAGAAGUAAUGGCUUCAAGUUGCACCGAGGGAGUUCCAGUUUGGGUAUUAGGAAAAAGUCCUUCUCAGAAAGAGUUGUAGUGUAUUGCAGAAGACUGAUCAAAGGUGUGGUGGAAUCACCAUCACUGGAAGUUUUCAAGAAACACGUAGAUGUGGCACUAAGUAACAGGGUUUGGUGGGCAUGGUGGAGAUAGGUUGAUGACUGGAUUAGAUAAUCCUAGAGGUCUUUUCCAAACUUAAUGUCUCUGUGAUUCUAUGUUUUAUGUUGGAAUAGAUCUCCAGAGGACAUUCGAGAAAACCCUCUGCCAUACCUAAAUAUCUAUCUGAAAUGCACAGCCAAAAGAUCUAUGUAUUGUUUUUCAUUUGUCUAGUUAUCUGUUGAGAAAAUAGUGUACAAAU